AUUGAACGCUGGCGGCAGGCCUAACACAUGCAAGUCGAGCGGUAGAGAGAAGCUUGCUUCUCUUGAGAGCGGCGGACGGGUGAGUAAUGCCUAGGAAUCUGCCUGGUAGUGGGGGAUAACGUUCGGAAACGGACGCUAAUACCGCAUACGUCCUACGGGAGAAAGCAGGGGACCUUCGGGCCUUGCGCUAUCAGAUGAGCCUAGGUCGGAUUAGCUAGUUGGUGAGGUAAUGGCUCACCAAGGCGACGAUCCGUAACUGGUCUGAGAGGAUGGUCAGUCACACUGGAACUGAGACACGGUCCAGACUCCUACGGGAGGCAGCAGUGGGGAAUAUUGGACAAUGGGCGAAAGCCUGAUCCAGCCAUGCCGCGUGUGUGAAGAAGGUCUUCGGAUUGUAAAGCACUUUAAGUUGGGUAGGAAGGGCAGUUACCGUAAUACGUGAUUGUUUUGACGUUACCGUACAGAAUAAGCACCGGCUAACUCUGUGCCAGCAGCCGCGGUAA
rnacentral:rRNA from 1 species